AGUGGUGUAAUGGACUAGAGACCUGC
rnacentral:piRNA from 1 species